rnacentral:tRNA from 1 species
GGGAGGGUAGCUUAGCCUGGUUGGAGCGAUCGACUUAUAAUCGAUAGGUCGCGGGUUCAAAUCCCGCCCUUCCCA